AUUGAACGCUGGCGGCAGGCCUAACACAUGCAAGUCGAGCGGAUGAAGGGAGCUUGCUCCUGGAUUCAGCGGCGGACGGGUGAGUAAUGCCUAGGAAUCUGCCUGGUAGUGGGGGAUAACGUCCGGAAACGGGCGCUAAUACCGCAUACGUCCUGAGGGAGAAAGUGGGGGAUCUUCGGACCUCACGCUAUCAGAUGAGCCUAGGUCGGAUUAGCUAGUUGGUGGGGUAAAGGCCUACCAAGGCGACGAUCCGUAACUGGUCUGAGAGGAUGAUCAGUCAAAAUGGAACCGAGACAACGUCCAGACUCCCAAGGGAGGCAAGAGGUGGGAAAUAUUGAAAAUUGGGGGAAGGCCUAUCCAAGCAAGGCGGGUGGGGUGAAGAAGGUCUCGGGAUGAUAAACAACUUUAGGUGGGAAGAAAGGCAAGUAGGUAAUUACCUGGCUUUUUGAACGUUACAACAAGAUAAAGAACCGGCAAACUGCGG
rnacentral:rRNA from 1 species